rnacentral:misc_RNA from 1 species
CCGAGUUUACAACUCCCAAACCCCUGUGAACAUACCACUUGUUGCCUCGGCGGAUCAGCCGCUCCCGGUAAAACGGGACGGCCCGCCAGAGGACCCCUAAACUCUGUUUCUAUAUGUAACUUCUGAGUAAAACCAUAAAUAAAUCA